rfam:Synechococcus sp. KORDI-100, complete genome.
GGGUCGAGUGAAGUGCCGAUACUGUAGGGGCCGACUCCGGUAAAGGGUCGAUCCUGUC